CCAAAGGAUAAUAGUAUUCC
rnacentral:tRNA from 1 species